rnacentral:rRNA from 1 species
ACUCCUACGGGAGGCAGCAGUAGGGAAUCUUCCACAAUGGGCGCAAGCCUGACGGAGCAACACCGCGUGAGUGAAGAAGGGUUUCGGCUCGUAAAGCUCUGUUGUUAAAGAAGAACACGUAUGAGAGUAACUGUUCAUACGUUGACGGUAUUUAACCGGAAAGUCACGGCUAACUACGUGCCAGCAGCCGCGGUAAUACGUAGGUGGCAAGCGUUAUCCGGAUUUAUUGGGCGUAAAGAGAGUGCAGGCGGUUUUCUAAGUCUGAUGUGAAAGCCUUCGGCUUAACCGGAGAAGUGCAUCGGAAACUGGAUAACUUGAGUGCAGAAGAGGGUAGUGGAACUCCAUGUGUAGCGGUGGAAUGCGUAGAUAUAUGGAAGAACACCAGUGGCGAAGGCGGCUACCUGGUCUGCAACUGACGCUGAGACUCGAAAGCAUGGGUAGCGAACAGGAUUAGAUACCCUGGUAGGAUAGCG